rnacentral:rRNA from 1 species
UACGAAGGGGCUAGCGUUGCUCGGAAUCACUGGGCGUAAAGCGCACGUAGGCGGAUUGUUAAGUCAGGGGUGAAAUCCUGGAGCUCAACUCCAGAACUGCCUUGAUACUGGCGAUCUUGAGUCCGGGAGAGGUGAGUGGAACUGCGAGUGUAGAGGUGAAAUUCGUAGAUAUCGGGAGGAACACCAGUGGCGAAGGCGGCUCUCUGGGCAGAUACUGACACUGAGACGCGAAAGCGUGGGUAGCAAACAGGG